rnacentral:rRNA from 1 species
AGUUUGAUCCUGGCUCAGAUUGAACGCUGGCGGGAUGCUUUACACAUGCAAGUCGAACGGCAGCACGGAAGACCCAACUGGUGGCGAGUGGCGAACGGGCAGUAAUGUAUCGGAACGUGCCUAGUAGUGGGGGAUAACUAGCGAAAGCGUAGCCAAUACUGCAUACGCCCUUCGGGGGAAAGCGGGGACCUUCGGCUCGCAAUUAUUAGAGCGGCCGAUAUCGGAUUAGCUAGUUGGUGGGGUAACGGCUCACCAAGGCGACGAUCCGUAGCUGGUUUGAGAGGACGACCAGCCACACUGGGACCGAGACACGGGCCCAGACUCCUACGGGAGGCAGCAGUGGGGAAUUUUGGACAAUGGGGAAAACCCUGAUCCCAUUCAUCUCGCGUGUGCGAUGAAGGCUCUCGUUGUAAAGCACUUUGGCAGUGGGAAAGAAACGGCACGGGAUAAUACCCCGUGCAACUGACGGUACCUGCAGAAUAAGCACCGUGGCUAACUACCACGCCAGCAGCCGCGGUAAUACGUAGGGUGCAAGCGUUAAUCGGAAUUACUGGGCGUAAAGCGUGCGCAGGCGGUUCGGAAAGAAAGAGUUGUGGAAAUCCCAGACAUGCCUGACUGAACCACAUUUUUAACUACUGAGCUUAGAGUGUGUCAGAGGGAGGUGGAAUUCCGCGUAGCAGGAAUGCGUAGAUAUGCGGAGGGACACCGAUGGCGAAGGCAGCCUCCUGGGGGAUAACACUGACGCUCAUGCACGAAAGCGUGGGAGCAAACAGGAUUAGAUACCUGGUAGUCCACGCCCUAAACGAUGUCAACUAGCUGUUGGGGCCUUCGGGCUCUGUAGCGCAGCUGCUAACGCGUGAAGUUGACCGCCUGGGGAGUACGGUCGCAAGAUUAAAACCCAAAGGAAUUGACGGGGAUUCCGCACGUUAACAGCCGAUGAUGUGGAUUAAUUCGAUGCAACGCGAAAAACCUUACCUACUCCUUGACAUGUCUGGAAUCCCGAAGAGAUUUGGGGAGGCUCACGCACGAGAACCGAACACAGGUGCUGCAUGGCUGUCGUCAGCUCGUGUCGAGAUACCACACAGUCCCGCAACGAGCGGCAACCUCAAUAAUAGUUGCUGCUGAAAGGGCACCCCCAUCGUGAGACUGCCGGUGACAAACCGGAGGAAGGUGGGGAUGACGUCAAGUCCUCAUGGCCCUUAUGGGUAGGGCUUCACACGUCAUGCAAUGGUCGGGACAGAGGGUCGCCAACCCGCGAGGGGAGCCAAUCCCAGAAACCCGAUCGUCUGGAUCGCGCAGUCUGCAACUCGACUGCGUGAAGUCGGAAUCGCUAGUAAUCGCGGAUCAGCAUGUCGCGUGAACACGUUCCGGCUUGUACACACUGCCUGUCACACCAUGGGAGUGGGUUUUACCAGGCGGUAGUUAGCCUAACUGCAAGGAGGCGGCGAUUACCACGGCAGGAUUCAUGACUGGUGUGUCUCGUACCGC